GGUGGCUCAGUGGUAGAGUGCUUGCCUUGCAUGCAUGAGGCCCUGGGCUAGAUUCCUCAGCACCA
rfam:Dipodomys ordii contig_73668, whole genome shotgun sequence.